AGGGCGCACGGUGGAUGCCUUGGCACUAGGAGCCGAUGAAGGACGGGACUAACACCGAUAUGCUUUGGGGAGCUGUAAGUAAGCUAUGAUCCAGAGAUUUCCGAAUGGGGGAACCCAGCAUCUUUUAUAGGAUGUUACUUUUCAGUGAAUACAUAGCUGAUUAGAGGUAGACGCAGAGAACUGAAACAUCUAAGUACCUGCAGGAAGAGAAAGAAAAAUCGAUUCCCUGAGUAGCGGCGAGCGAAACGGGAAAAGCCCAAACCAAGAGGCUUGCCUCUUGGGGUUGUAGGACUCCGAUAUGGUAGUCCAGUGAGAUAGUCGAAGGACCUGGAAAGGUCUGCUAGAAAGGGUAAAAGCCCCGUAGACAAAAUUUGACUGGCACCUAGGAGGAUCCUGAGUACGGCGGAACACGAGGAAUUCCGUCGGAAUCCGGGAGGACCAUCUCCCAAGGCUAAAUACUCCCUAGUGACCGAUAGUGAACCAGUACCGUGAGGGAAAGGUGAAAAGCACCCCGGAAGGGGAGUGAAAUAGAUCCUGAAACCGUGUGCCUACAACAAGUUAGAGCCCGUUAAUGGGUGAUAGCGUGCCUUUUGUAGAAUGAACCGGCGAGUUACGAUUACUUGCGAGGUUAAGUUGAAAAGACGGAGCCGCAGCGAAAGCGAGUCUGAAUAGGGCGAAUGAGUAAGUGGUCGUAGACCCGAAACCAUGUGAUCUACCCAUGUCCAGGUUGAAGGUGCGGUAAAACGCACUGGAGGACCGAACCCACGUACGUUGAAAAGUGCGGGGAUGAGGUGUGGGUAGCGGAGAAAUUCCAAACGAACUUGGAGAUAGCUGGUUCUCUCCGAAAUAGCUUUAGGGCUAGCCUCAGAGUAAGAAUGAUGGAGGUAGAGCACUGUUUGGACUAGGGGCCCAUCUCGGGUUACCGAAUUCAGAUAAACUCCGAAUGCCAUCCAUUCAUCUCUGGGAGUCAGACUGUGAGUGAUAAGAUCCAUAGUCGAAAGGGAAACAGCCCAGACCACCAGCUAAGGUCCCCAAAUAACUAUUAAGUGGAAAAGGAUGUGGGGUUGCACAGACAACUAGGAUGUUGGCUUAGAAGCAGCCACCAUUUAAAGAGUGCGUAAUAGCUCACUAGUCGAGUGACCCUGCGCCGAAAAUGUACCGGGGCUAAAUAGUUUACCGAAGCUGUGGAACACACCAAUAGGUGUGUUGGUAGGAGAGCGUUCUAAGGGCGUUGAAGGUAGAUCGUGAGGACUGCUGGAGCGCUUAGAAGUGAGAAUGCCGGUAUGAGUAGCGAAAGACAGGUGAGAAUCCUGUCCACCGAAUGACUAAGGUUUCCUGGGGAAGGCUCGUCCGCCCAGGGUUAGUCGGGACCUAAGCCGAGGCCGAUAGGCGUAGGCGAUGGAUAACAGGUUGAUAUUCCUGUACCCGUUGUUUUUGUUUGAGCAAUGGAGGGACGCAGGAGGCUAAGGAAUCAGACGAUUGGAAAUGUCUGUCCAAGCAAUAAGUCUUGAUGUGAGUCAAAUGCUUACGUCUUUAAGGACAAGUUGUGAUGGGGAGGGAAAUAAUAGUACCGAAGUUCCUGAUGUCACACUGCCGAGAAAAGCUUCUAGUGAGAAAACAAUGGCCCGUACCGCAAACCGACACAGGUAGUCGAGGAGAGAAUCCUAAGGUGAGCGAGAGAACUCUCGUUAAGGAACUCGGCAAAAUGACCCCGUAACUUCGGGAGAAGGGGUGCUGAUCUAACGAUCAGCCGCAGUGAAUAGGCCCAAGCGACUGUUUAUCAAAAACACAGGUCUCUGCAAAAUCGUAAGAUGAAGUAUAGGGGCUGACGCCUGCCCGGUGCUGGAAGGUUAAGAGGAGCGCUUAGCAUUAGCGAAGGUGUGAAUUGAAGCCCCAGUAAACGGCGGCCGUAACUAUAACGGUCCUAAGGUAGCGAAAUUCCUUGUCGGGUAAGUUCCGACCCGCACGAAAGGCGUAACGAUUUGGGCACUGUCUCAACGAGAGACUCGGUGAAAUUUUAGUACCUGUGAAGAUGCAGGUUACCCGCGACAGGACGGAAAGACCCCAUGGAGCUUUACUGCAGUUUGAUAUUGAGUGUUUGUACCACAUGUACAGGAUAGGUAGGAGCCGUAGAAGUCGGGACGCUAGUUUCGACAGAGGCGCUGGUGGGAUACUACCCUUGUGUUAUGACCACUCUAACCCGCACCACUGAUCGUGGUGGGAGACAGUGUCAGAUGGGCAGUUUGACUGGGGCGGUCGCCUCCUAAAGAGUAACGGAGGCGCCCAAAGGUUCCCUCAGAAUGGUUGGAAAUCAUUCGCAGAGUGUAAAGGCACAAGGGAGCUUGACUGCGAGACCUACAAGUCGAGCAGGGACGAAAGUCGGGCUUAGUGAUCCGGUGGUUCCGCAUGGAAGGGCCAUCGCUCAACGGAUAAAAGCUACCCUGGGGAUAACAGGCUUAUCUCCCCCAAGAGUCCACAUCGACGGGGAGGUUUGGCACCUCGAUGUCGGCUCGUCGCAUCC
rnacentral:rRNA from 1 species